GGAGAGAUGGUCGAGUGGUUUAUGGCUCCAGUCUUGAAAACUGGCAUGGUGAUGAGACACUAUCGAGGGUUCGAAUCCCUCUCUCUCCU
rnacentral:tRNA from 1 species